AAACAUUCACUAGUAAUAUGAUUCAUUUUAGAUCAUAUACAUUGCAUUCAUCUAGUAAUUUAUCGAAUUCUUACAUUCAUUACAUCAUUUCUUUCUUACAUCACAUUUACCUCAAAAUGAGCUUUACAUUCUUUUCUUUACAUCACUAAUCAUCAAGUACAAAAAGAUNGCAUGCAUAUUCUUGUUAUAUGUAUUUAUUGUGAAUUUUAGAAUGCUUAAAAGGCCUAUGUUAUAUAUGAUGAAAUUUUGGACCUCUAUAUAGUAGAGAGUAGUUUAUUAGGCCAUAGUUGCAUUU
rnacentral:lncRNA from 1 species